GUCCCUUCGAAGACAUCCGAUAAAAUUGGAACGAUACAGAGAAGAUUAGUAUGGCCCCUACGCAAGGAUGACACACACAAAUCGAGAAAAAAGGUUCAUCCUU
rfam:Triticum urartu cultivar G1812 contig1005747, whole genome shotgun sequence.